GUCGUAUCCACGAGGGUCCACCUGGGGACGUCCAGAUCGCCCCCUGGGGGCCAGAAGGGAUGUGACCUAUGGCUGCCAAAUCCCAGAGAAGCAAAGGGCAGCAGUGGUUUUAUCCAGAAGGGAUGGCGCCCCAGGCCCCUACCGCAACCCAGUUCCAGUGAACUCUUCCCCUUUGUAAGUUUCCUCCAGUCCUGCCUCCAGGCUAGUGUGUGGGCUGAUCACAAGGACCGUGAGCCAAGUCUACCAUAUGCCCUCUGCAGAUGUCAGCUGUCACUAUUCCAUUCUUGACGGGAGGGGGGGGGGGAUUCCUUGCAGGGCCGAGAGCAAGGAUACUCCUACAGGUCCCAGGAGCUGCCCAUGCCAUCCUUCCAAGACCAGCUGAAGCCCUCCUCCUCCAGGAAGCCCUUCCUGACCACCCCAGCCCCUCGAAGGCCCCAGAGACGUCAGAAAACAGGCAUGCUGUCUCCAAACCUCCAAAGGACACCCACACCCGCUCUCGGCCUGAUCUUCAGUGUUUACUUUUGGAGAGCUGGCCUCGUGGUCAGGGGUGGGGUAUGGGCUUUGGUUCUGCUCCUGGACUCCGAAGUCCCCAAGCCCCCUCCUGCUCCGCAUCUCUUGACAUCCGCACAGCGACCUCCAGCCUCAUCCAGGGAGGCCUGGGCCUGUAAAACUGUCCUUCUCCUCCCUCGCGAGGACACGGAGGCUCGCUGAGGUUAAGACACACGUCCGAGGGGUACCCCGCCACGGAGGCGCCAGAUGGGGAAGACCGAGGCAGAAGCCACCGACAUUCAUGAGUACGCCUCCUCGUAGCCCGCAAGGGAUUUUCGUGUAAUCGAUAAGCGCCCAGAGAGGACCCAGCUUUGACCCAAAGGAAGUAUUUUUUGAAUGAAAUGUGCCCUGUGG